GUAGGUGAACCUGCGGAAGGAUCAUUAGAAAUAUCCCACACCCUUGGAUGAAAGUCCGGGUGGACCAGCCUAAUGGGCUCUAAAAACGUAAUGCCGGAACUCCAAUCCCGAAAAGGGUCUCAUGGUCUCGGCCUCUUCUGUAAAUACGGAAGGUGGAAUCACGUUACACUAUCUCUGCGUAGUGGCCUCUUUCCUGUGAGAAGUAUCCUCAUCGUUCGCCCUCUACCUUACUGUAGGACACUACAGACCG
rnacentral:misc_RNA from 1 species